UACGAAGGGGGCUAGCGUUGCUCGGAAUGACUGGGCGUAAAGGGCGCGUAGGCGGCUUGCACAGUCAGGCGUGAAAUUCCUGGGCUCAACCUGGGGACUGCGCUUGAGACGUGUGGGCUUGAGUGGGGAAGAGGGUCGUGGAAUUCCCAGUGUAGAGGUGAAAUUCGUAGAUAUUGGGAAGAACACCGGUGGCGAAGGCGGCGACCUGGUCCUUGACUGACGCUGAGAGACGAAAGCUAGGGGAGCAAAUGGG
rnacentral:rRNA from 1 species